rnacentral:hammerhead_ribozyme from 1 species
AUUCAGAUGACGAGUCCAAAAUAGGACGAAACGCGCGUCCUGGAU